UACGUAGGGGGCAAGCGUUGUCCGGAAUUAUUGGGCGUAAAGAGCUCGUAGGCGGUUUGUCGCGUCUGCUGUGAAAACUCGAGGCUCAACCUCGGGCUUGCAGUGGGUACGGGCAGACUAGAGUGCGGUAGGGGUGACUGGAAUUCCUGGUGUAGCGGUGAAAUGCGUAGAUAUCACUUGGAACGCCGACGGUGAAAACAGUCUGCUGGGGGUUUGCUGACGCUGAGACACGAAAGCCAGGGGAGCGAACGGG
rnacentral:rRNA from 1 species